CAUGGCUAGCAUUAGCGCAGCUCCCGAGCGCCACGGCACGGCGAGGGACGUGACGGCCACCACCCGUGCUGCAGCCACCACGCCGCCACCUGCGUGAGCCGGAGCGCUCCGGAUGUGCUGGCGGCUCUGCUGGCAGACUUUUUGAUCCAGGCAAACAAGUUGUUUGUCCCCAAUCAAAUACAAAUGAUGGCAUCAUAAUUUUGAACCCCCGAAAUGCUGCACAAAGCAUAGGAAAGAGGCCUCGUCUCAUCCAUUAAAUUUCCGUUGAGCUUCUGAGCGGAACGUGCCAGAUGAUCUCAGUGUUGGUCAUUCACUCAACCAACUGAAUCAGAAAAGUGAAAGGAAUCUUGGAAAUCAUGUCAUUUAAAUUUCUGACUUCACGCGUGAGUCAACAAAGCCCCAUCAGAUGCAGGUACAGAAGACAAUAGCAAGCAAAAAUCUUUCAUUCUUGGUAAGUGUAAUUAAAAAUUAGCAGAUGUUGACACUGGUAAGUCAGCCUGGUGGUUGAGAACACUUUUGCUUUUGCAGAAGACACCCAACACCCAAACGGUGGCUCAAAACCAUCCCUCACUCCACUUUCAGGGUAUGAGAUGCCUGCUCCUGAACUCUGAUGGCACUAGGCAUAUGCACAUACGUGGUGGCAAAACAUUCAUGCACAUAAAAUCAAGUAAAUUUUAAAAAUUUAGGAAAAUAAACAUAUUUAAUAUGUCAAGUGUGAUGCAUCUAGGGAGAAAAAUAAAGCUGAAUGAGGAAUAAGAAUGGCAGAAAGUUUUAUAAAGGGUAUUAUUAAAUGUCUCUCUGAGAAUAAUAGCUAUUUGACACAGGGGACAGUAGAGCUUUAUGUAUCAGUCUUCAGCUCUUUCAGAUCUUACACUAAAAACUGGCCAAUGAGCCUUGGCUUUGUUUUCACUCACUGAGGUAAGUCCCGUGGCAUCCCCAUGUAGUUGAUGCAGCUGAUGAGAAAAACUGAAGAAAAACUUACCCAAAGCCAUGAGCUUUGAAGGAUGCAGACUUAAGACGGUCAGUUCUAAGCCCAGUGUCCUCAAACCAACAUAUUCUGCUUGAGACUUGAAGCAAGCAACUCACCUGCUCUUAACCUUUACUGGCAAGAAGACUAUAAUUGCAUCUGCAUCCAAGCUGUUGUUGGAAUUCAGAAGAUACACAUCCAAAUUACUCAUUUCACUGUCUGAACCAGUGAGCUCCCUGUAAAUAUAAAAUGUUCUGGACAGUAAUCACAAUCAGAAAUCUGUGUCCUUUCUUACAAGCAAUCCCCAUGCUGCAGUUAGAAAGUCUUUAUUAACAAGAUGAAGUUACAGAGUAUA